rnacentral:lncRNA from 1 species
UUUAGGAAGGGGUAGCAGGUCAGUAGAGGUAUCUGAAGGUGGGGUUGGUUUAUGGCUCUAUGUGAAUAUCAGCAGCAGUAAGAGUAUGGAGCUGCUGCUGCUUGCUAUAGAGAUUCUGUUUACCUUUUUCUUCCUGUGACAAGUCCAAAGAAAUUAUGUUGGAUCCAGCUGAGCUGUUCUGAAACUAUAGCAUUUGCCUAAAACCAGAAGAGAAUUCAUCCACUCUGUAGGAGAUGUAUAUUUAGCUGCCUGCCAGCCAAUCACAGACAAGCCAGCUCUUCCAUCUGGAGCAAUGUUUGCAAGCUGGGUGUCACAGUCUUCCUCCUCACCUGCAGGAAGGGGUGCCCUAUGGAGCCUGUCCUCCCAACACACUUCCAGCGAAAUCCAGACUUUAUUUAAGUAAUUCUUGCAAGAUUUCCCAUGACAUAGUCAUAUAUAUUGUCUUUGAUGGAUGGCUUUGCAACCCGAUGCUAGAUGGGUAGGUGCAAAUGGAUAGGGAGUUCGAGAAGUGUUAACAAAAAAAAAAAAAAAAAACUGAUUAAGAUCAAAAUACCUUCCACAAGGUUACCAUAAAAAGUGAUGUGUUGAGUUAAAUUACACUAAGGAAUAAAUGGCAAAUGCCUACUUA